GAGUUUGAUCCUGGCUCAGAACGAACGCUGGCGGCGUGGAUAAGACAUGCAAGUCGAACGGGAUUUCAUUUGUAGCAAUACACGUGAAGUUCAGUGGCGUAAGGGUGCGUAACACGUGGGCAAUCUGCCGAGAUGUGGGGGAUAGCUCGCCGAAAGGCGAAUUAAUACCGCAUGUGGUUAGUGCUGGAUUCAGCGCGACACCAAAGCCGGGGCAACCUGGCGCAUCUUGAUGAGCCCGCGGCCUAUCAGCUAGUUGGUGAGGUAACGGCUCACCAAGGCUUUGACGGGUAGCUGGUCUGAGAGGACGACCAGCCACACUGGAACUGAGACACGGUCCAGACACCUACGGGUGGCAGCAGUCGAGAAUUUUUCUCAAUGGGGGAAACCCUGAAGGAGCGACGCCGCGUGGAGGAUGAAGGUCUUCGGAUUGUAAACUCCUGUCAUUUGGGAACAAUUGUUGGCGAUUAACUGUCGUCAGCUUGAUAGUACCAGAAGAGGAAGAGACGGCUAACUCUGUGCCAGCAGCCGCGGUAAUACAGAGGUCUCAAGCGUUGUUCGGAUUCAUUGGGCGUAAAGGGUGCGUAGGUGGCGGGGUUAGUCAGGUGUGAAAUCUCGGGGCUCAACCCCGAAACUGCACUUGAUACUGCCUUGCUAGAGUACUGGAGAGGAGAUUGGAAUUUACGGUGUAGCAGUGAAAUGCGUAGAUAUCGUAAGGAAGACCAGUGGCGAAGGCGAAUCUCUGGACAGUUACUGACACUGAGGCACGAAGGCCAGGGGAGCAAACGGGAUUAGAUACCCCGGUAGUCCUGGCAGUAAACGGUGCGCGUUUGGUGUGGGAGGAUUCGACCCCUUCUGUGCCGGAGCUA
rnacentral:rRNA from 1 species